rnacentral:rRNA from 1 species
UACGGGGGGGGCAAGCGUUGUUCGGAAUUACUGGGCGUAAAGGGCUCGUAGGCGGCCAACUAAGUCAGACGUGAAAUCCCUAGGCUCAACCUAGGAACUGCGUCUGAUACUGGAUGGCUUGAAUCCGGGAGAGGGAUGCAGAAUUCCAGGUGUAGCGGUGAAAUGCGUAGAUAUCUGGAGGAAUACCGGUGGCGAAGGCGGCAUCCUGGACCGGCAUUGACGCUGAGGAGCGAAAGCUAGGGGAGCAAACGGGG